GGGAUAUGGCUCAGUUGGUAGAGCGCCUCGUUCGCAACGAGGAGGCCACGAGUUCGAAUCUCGUUAUCUCC
rnacentral:tRNA from 2 species